UCUUACGUCACACCCGGAGACGAGAUCGUGAUCGAGCUGAAUAAACCAGCCAAUCGGAACGUUCGGAUUUGCUGGCAUCCUUCUCAGAAGAAUAUGACGAACACUUCAGUCAUAAGCAACCGUGGUGAUCGCACCCAUCUGUCGUGUACCAACAAACAGACGGACAGACGAUACAGGAGCAGACGACAGAUUGACGGGUGUCUUAAUGGCGGGAGAUGAGGCGCGUGUCUUUCUUCAGGGUUCACCGCAGCACUAAUGGACAUUCCGUAUGUCCGCCCAGAUCUCUCGGCAGUGCAUGGCGUUCAGUCCAACAUGUCUUGUCAUGAACAGUUAUCAUAUAUAUCUGUAUAAAUGCUGCUAGUUGUGAUGUCAAUCUUGGUCCAUGUGUCUUUCUGAAGUGAAAUUCAUACGAAUAUUUUACAAAAUAUAUAAAGUCUUUCUUCAAUAAUA